UACAGAGGGCGCGAGCGUUAAUCGGAAUUACUGGGCGUAAAGGGUGCGUAGGCGGUUAGAUAAGUUAGAUGUGAAAUCCCCGGGCUUAACCUGGGAAUUGCAUUUAAUACUGUAUGACUAGAGUAGAGUAGAGGGAAGUGGAAUUUCCGGUGUAGCGGUGAAAUGCGUAGAUAUCGGAAAGAACAUCAGUGGCGAAGGCGGCUUCCUGGACUCAUACUGACGCUGAGGCACGAAAGCAUGGGGAGCAAACAGG
rnacentral:rRNA from 1 species